rnacentral:piRNA from 1 species
UUAUAGCUUUGGAUAUGGUGU